AUUUGAAGACUGAGAGAUGAGUUGUGUAGCACCAACAUUUUCUUUCUGCCUGACCUUCAUACCUGAUGAAUUAAAAGCAUAGGAUGUUUGGAAGAGUGAGAUAGGGGACACAUUGAAAACAGAGAGGCAAUCUGAAGGCUACCUUGACGCAUCUGCAAAGCUCCCAGAUUCUGACUUUCACAAGACUUGCUUUCUGUUUCUGGGCCUCGCCUAAACAGACUGCCAGUCAUCCGAACCGUGGCAGGAUGGAGAUGUUUGUGUAAGGUAGACUCAAGUUUGCAAGACUCAAGAAGGAAACCACCAAACUAAUUUUACUUUCACUUAAACCAGAUUGAAACCAAGACUUGAAGAAUUAAAAACUUUGACAUUAACCAUUGAUUCACUCCAAUGAAAUAAUUGUGUUAUAGCCAGAAUCAUGGUGAAAUUGGAACAAGGCUUUUGAUGGGAUUUUUAAUUGAGGGACUUAUAUUAAAUUGGAUAUUUUCUUUAAUGAACAGCAUGUGGCCAAAAUUCUAUUUUCAUUAAAGUAUAUUAAGCAUCAUGACAACUCAUAUUAAACCUGCAACAAAUGAUUAAUGACAUUUAGAGACUUCAAAUGUCAUGAGACACCUUAAAUAUUAAGAAUCAAAAAGAACACCUCAAAGUUGUUUCUAUUCUUAGUAAUUAUGCUUAAAAAAACAUCUUUCCUUGCUUUGAAAGCCAGUUGCUAAAAAUAAAAACUGUUCCAUGAAAAAUCACAAUGCCCAAUGAUAAAUUUAUGUAUUUGUUUUUUAAAGGGGGAGGAUGGUGAGAAAAAUAGAAAGCUCCUGGCUGACAUCAGAGGUCACAAGAUGAGUUCCUCAUUUGUCCAAAUGACAUUCAGCUGCUAAAAGAAGUCAGACUUUUAGAGGGCUGUUGAAAAGACAGUAAGUCAGGAGGUUUUCAGUACAUGACUGCAGGGGAAUCAGACACAGGCUAGUCACUUAAGUUGCUUAAUUGUCCGUGUACCCUUAGCCCACGACUUCAGGGCUCAGCAGCUUCAUCCUUCAUGGCACCAAACCUUGACGUAAGGGAUUCAAAGACACACUCAUAAGAAUCGUGAAUUUGUCCUCAUGCAAAAUUUGGGGGACUGGCUACAAAACCGAAACAAG
rnacentral:lncRNA from 1 species